CCGUGUGCACCCUUAUAAAGUGAAGCACCGCUUCUUUCUAUUCUCCAAAGCCAAUAAAUGAAAUUGCUGCACCAUAAUUUCAAACAUUAAAAUAUUCAAAAAAAAAUAAACUAAAGAAAGAGUGGUGGCUGGUAGCUACAUUCCUUGCAGGCCGUGACACCUCCUAGUUGCAAUUUUUAAUUGAUGCUUGCAGCUCCUCUUCCAUCUAUCUCAAUCAAAAAGUGCAUAAGACUAAAUAAAAAAAAGGCAAGUAAUAAAUCUGCAAUUGAUGGCCAUGAACGAAAAUAAAAAAUCCGCACCAUGUGCAUUCAAAAAAGAAGGAAAUGAUUUUUUAAACAAAACAAUGCAAAUGACCAUGAACUUCUCUAGAAUCACCGCUUCAGCUAGCAAAGUGAAUGCCACUCUCCAAAACGUUUGUCACUUCUUCCAUCCAGCACCGUCCACACUUCAAGCUAAUCAUCUCUUCACGGCAGCAACAAUUAUCAAAGUCCAUCACCAAUUCUCCAUCAAUCACCGAAUCUUUAUUUAAUAAAAACUAAAAAGAAAAUGUUCAAGCAUUGCACAAAACGUAAAAGAAAAAUGAACCCAUUUUCAUUCCAUCAAAUCAUUUCGGACAAUAAAGACUAAGAAAAAUAUUCUAGCACUUGC
rnacentral:lncRNA from 1 species